GUGGAAUUCUGGAAAUUGGAAUUGCUCUACAACACAGACUCAGGCAGCCAGCCACAAUGAUGUGCCACUGGGACCUUGGUCCAUAUUACUGAUGAUCCAUGGAACUUGAGCAGUUUACCUGGUCAGAUGAAUGCUGACACCACUACAGGAAAGAACAAGCAUUGCCGUCGGGUCUGUGAAGAGAUUGUGUCCUUGUAGAAAUCUGUCAGUACGGAAUUCUUCCAGUAUGUGCUCUCAGUGAAGGAUGACUGAGAAUGCCCUGCAAUCAGGAACAAGGAGAUUUAUUCGAGGGGACUGUUCUCAAUAGAAUGUUACUUCAGCUUUUGGUCAAAGCAAGCUUCGUCAUUGCAGACCUGCAAGCCUCAAGGCAGGUAGGUGUUCCUCCUGUCUUAUUUUUCAGUAUAUCAAAUCUUGUUUUCAGCUACAGUGAGGAGAU